rnacentral:tRNA from 1 species
GCCGCGGUAGUCUAGUGGUAAGACAUCUCAGUCCGAUAAGACCUUUAUUUGUGUAUCAUACACAAGUCAAGGCCAUACAGGAUAAUGUGAAGGUCGCGGGUUCGAUCCCCGCUCGUGGCU